rnacentral:rRNA from 1 species
GACGAACGCUGGCGGCGUGCCUAAUACAUGCAAGUAGAACGCAGUUGCGCAGGGGUGAGUAACGCGUAGGUAACUGCCCCAUAGCGGGGGAUUACUAUUGGAAACGAUAGCUAAAACCGCCUACUGUGAGCUGGACCUGCGUUGUAUUAGCUUGUUGGUGAGGUAAAGGCUCACCAAGGCCACGAUAAAUAGCCGACCUGAGAGGGUGAACCGCCACACUGGGACUUAGACACGGCCCAGACUCCUACGGGGGGCAGCAGUAGGGAAUCUUCGGCAAUGGGGGGAAGGCUGGAUGAGGAACGCCGGGUGAGAGAAGAAGGUUUUCGGAGCGUAAAGCUCUGUUGGGAGAGAAGCGGUAACUACCCAGAAAGGGACGGCUAACUACGUGCCAGCAGCCGCGGUAAUUC